AACGAACGCUGGCGGCAGGCUUAACACAUGCAAGUCGAACGCCCCGCAAGGGGAGUGGCAGACGGGUGAGUAACGCGUGGGAACGUGCCCUUCGCUUCGGAAUAGCCCCGGGAAACUGGGAGUAAUACCGAAUACGCCGUAUUGGGAAAGAUUUAUCGGCGAAGGGUCGGCCCGCGUUAGAUUAGCUAGUUGGCGGUGUAAUGGACCACCAAGGCUACGAUCUAUAGCUGGUCUGAGAGGAUGAUCAGCCACACUGGGACUGAGACACGGCCCAGACUCCUACGGGAGGCAGCAGUGGGGAAUAUUGGACAAUGGGCGCAAGCCUGAUCCAGCCAUGCCGCGUGAGUGAUGAAGGCCUUAGGGUUGUAAAGCUCUUUCACCGAUGAAGAUAAUGACGGUAGUCGGAGAAGAAGCCCCGGCUAACUUCGUGCCAGCAGCCGCCGUAAUAC
rnacentral:rRNA from 1 species